rnacentral:rRNA from 1 species
GGUCAAGCUACAAAGACCCGG